rnacentral:rRNA from 1 species
ACGGAGGGUGCAAGCGUUAUCCGGAUUUAUUGGGUUUAAAGGGUGCGCAGGCGGAUUAUUAAGUCAGUGGUGAAAUCUCUCGGCUCAACCGAGAAACUGCCAUUGAUACUGAUAAUCUUGAGUAUAGUUGUAGUAGGCGGAAUAUAGCAUGUAGCGGUGAAAUGCUUAGAUAUGCUAUAGAACACCGAUCGCGAAGGCAGCUUACUAAACUAUUACUGACGCUCAUGCACGAAAGCGUGGGGAGCAAACAGG